AUUGAACGCUGGCGGCAGGCCUAACACAUGCAAGUCGAACGGUAACAGGAAACAGCUUGCUGUUUCGCUGACGAGUGGCGGACGGGUGAGUAAUGUCUGGGAAACUGCCUGAUGGAGGGGGAUAACUACUGGAAACGGUAGCUAAUACCGCAUAACGUCGCAAGACCAAAGAGGGGGACCUUCGGGCCUCUUGCCAUCGGAUGUGCCCAGAUGGGAUUAGCUAGUAGGUGGGGUAACGGCUCACCUAGGCGACGAUCCCGAGCUGGUCUGAGCGGAUGACCAGCCACACUGGAACUGAGACACGGUCCAGACUCCUACGGGAGGCAGCAGUGGGGAAUAUUGCACAAUGGGCGCAAGCCUGAUGCAGCCAUGCCGCGUGUAUGAAGAAGGCCUUCGGGUUGUAAAGUACUUUCAGCGGGGAGGAAGGGAGUAAAGUUAAUACCUUUGCUCAUUGACGUUACCCGCAGAAGAAGCACCGGCUAACUCCGUGCCAGCCGCCGCAGUAA
rnacentral:rRNA from 1 species